AGUUUGAUCCUGGCUCAGGAUGAACGCUGGCGGCGUGCUUAACACAUGCAAGUCGAGCGAAGCACUUAUGCGGAAGUUUUCGGAUGGAAGCGUAAUGACUGAGCGGCGGACGGGUGAGUAACGCGUGGGGAACCUGCCUCAUACAGGGGAAUAACAGUUAGAAAUGACUGCUAAUGCCGCAUAAGCGCACACUGUGGCAUCACAGGGUGUGAAAAACUCCGGUGGUAUGAGAUGGCCCCGCGUCUGAUUAGGCAGUUGGCGGGGUAACGGCCCACCAAACCGACGAUCAGUAGCCGACCUGAGAGGGUGACCGGCCACAUUGGGACUGAGACACGGCCCAAACUCCUACGGGAGGCAGCAGUGGGGAAUAUUGCACAAUGGGGGAAACCCUGAUGCAGCGACGCCGCGUGGGUGACGAAGUAUUUCGGUAUGUAAAGCCCUAUCAGCAGGGAAGAGGAUGACAGUACCUGACCAAGAAGCCCCGGCUAACUACGUG
rnacentral:rRNA from 1 species